CAAAGUUAAAGUACUGGAAAGUGUUUUAA
rnacentral:rRNA from 1 species